rnacentral:ncRNA from 1 species
AAUGAUAGCGCCAGACCGCCGCACGGCGGUUGACGAGGAGAGAAGUGAUCGAAUCUUCGGCGGAUGCUUCUCCGGUGCGGGCAAAGACGCCGCAUCGUUAACAGCAGGCAAAUAUGCGGGCAACCGCAA